CCCAGGCAAGAAUACUGAAGUGGAUUGCCAUUUCCUUCUCCAGGGGAUGUUCCUGAUAUGGGGAUCUUCCUGAUCCAGGAGUCAAAUCCGUGUCUUCUGCAUUGGCAGGUGGAUUCUUUUACCACUGAGCCACCAGGGAAGCCCUGUGAAAAGUGAAAAUUUUCAAAGGAUGUAUGAAAUAACAACCAGCAACUUCCAAACACAGUGAGAGGCACUGAGAACACAUGAGUGCAAAGUCCACAGUCUAGUGAAACUUACACCGAACGGUGGAGAAGCUUGGACAGGAAGAUCUGCAGUGUGCUAAGUCGAAAUUGAUCAGGAAAAGGAGG
ensembl:lncRNA